UUUUUAUAAUUAUUCUAUCAAUUUACAACAAAAAAAUAAUUCUCCAAAAAAAAAAAAAAAACACCACAAACUUCUCCCACCAGCAAACAAACCAACAAAACUCAAACCCCCUCUCCUCCUUCUUCACCAAACUAGAGCAAUUUGUUCUUCCAAUUUCAGUGUGCAAAAGGUUGAUCUUAUGAUGAGAUUCAAAAAGGGUACCAAAGUGGAGGUAUUGACCCAAAAGGAUGUACCAUCGGGAUCAUGGCGGUGUGCCGAGAUAGUUGGUGGAAAUGGCCACAACUACUCUGUUAAGUAUGAAGGGGAUGUGGAGUUGUCAGGGAAUGGAACUGUCGAAAGAGUAUCCCGGAAAGCGAUUAGGCCUUGCCCACCUUCGGUGGACGUUUUGCAGGAUUGGGUAUCUGAGGAUGUUGUGGAGGUGCUCCACAACUUUUCUUGGAAGAUGGCCAUAGUGUUGAAGGUGUUGGGACUUAAUUACCUUUUAGUUAGGCUAGUUGGAUCUACAGUUGAACUCAAAGCGAAUAAGUUUGAUGUUCGGGCAAGGCUUUGCUGGCAAGAUGGUGAAUGGGCUGUGAUUGGAAAGGGGUCCAACAAAGGUGAAGAUUCGAGGUUCAGGAUUCCGUCAUCUCGAAAGGGUAAUAAUCAGUCAAAGAAAAUUGAUGCUAUUGUGAAAAGGCCUACAAAGGGUUACCAAAUCAGCACUAGCAAUACCGAUAACGCUCUGGAAUCUCAUGUGGUUCCUUCCAGAACUCUGAAAAGGAAGCAAUCUCACUGCCAUUUUAAGAUUGAAGCAUAUGCAGGGCCUAGGCAAAAAACUAGAGUGGAGAAAAGAGACAAUAUGAGGCAUCAGCUCAAUUUUGUGCCGCGACAAACCCAAUUACCUGACAAGGUAGAUGAUGUUGCUUCUUCACGAGAAAUGCUGCAUGAAAAAGGCAUGCAUCCUUCUUUUACCAACAAAGUAACUGGGUAUUCUGAGUUGAUUUGGGAGAGGGAGAAAAAAGAUGGUAUUGUUGGAUGUUCACGUUCAAUUAGCUUAGAAUCAGAUGACGAUAACAGUGUCUCAUCCUCUGUUGCUAGCUGUAGUGUCUAUGGGAACUACUCCCACGACUUUCAUCGUGUUUUUGCCACUGGUCCAUAUGAAGAUAAUGACAGUCAAAAUAGCGAUGCUGAAUCUUUUAGUCAGUUAAGACCUGUGGAAGAAAAUUCUUUCCUUCCUGCAAAAGAGGAGUUGACUGAAGAAUUACAUAGGCUAGAAUUGCAUGCCUAUCGGUGUACCAUAGGGGCAUUGCAUGCAUCAGGGCCAUUAAGUUGGGAACAGGAACUCUUAUUGACAAACCUUCGCCAUUCACUGCAUAUAUCAAAUGAUGAACAUUUGAAGGAGAUAAGGAACUUGGUUUCAUCUAGUACCUGCAUUCCUUCUAGCUGACAAAUCAUAGGGCCAUAGUAAGGGGAUUAUACACCUUGGUUCCAAAUGCAAAAAGAUGAUACUGGGAUCUGCCACCUAUGUUUUGGUGUGACUGUGCCAGUAUCUGCAUCAAGUUCCUUGCCCUAGAAGCUUAUGAUGCUACUGAUAUCUCUGUUACACAUGGAUGGCUGCUGCAUUCUUCCUUUUGGAGCAAUGUUGGAGCCUUGAAUAUCUGCUGAAGGAUGUAAAGCCAGAAUCUUGUGUCCGCGACAAGGUAUCUGUGCUGAUCCUUAAUAAGGAAUUAUUGGAAACUAAUGGCGGUGUUGAUGGAAAUGAGCUUGAUGAUAUGAUGAAGAUUUUGUCUUUUUGUAACCAGAUAUUCAACAUUGUCUAGAAAGUUGGAGUUUGCUAAUCAUCCAGCUCCACUGAGGUAUUCCAACUUGCAGAAUGUAACUCCAGUUGCUCUGGACGUGCUUAAUCAGCUUGGGAUAUAAUAUCGGAUUUGUCGUUUCCUAGAAUUCUAAAGGACGAUAAGAGAAGACAAAUGAACAUCAUAAUCGGAGGUCAUGAUUGAGGCACCCCGAAGCCAUUAUUGCGCAAUUGUCGGCUCCAGUACGUUAAUGAUCUCUCUCUCUCUGUCUCUUUUGCAGGUCAGAAUUCUGAAACACAGAACAACCAUCUUUUUAUGUGCUUCUCUAUGACCCUUUAAUGUGAAAAAGAAAUACGCGAAAAUGAUUCAAUAUGCAUUGUUUCAUUUAUUUCCUAACCAAAUGUCCAGCCUUUGGUCUAGUAACCCCGCUUUGAUUGAUUGCUGCUUCCAUGUGAUGGUGCCCCCCCUCCAUCUCCAUCUCCCUCUCCCUCUCCCUCUUCCUCUCCCUCUCCCUCUCCCAUAUUCUCUUAAGAAGGAAUGUUUGCAUUUAUUAAGAUUUAGAUUGUGGAUACAUUUCAGCCUUUAGACAAAAUGACAGUUAAGAAUUAGUUAUCAAGACUUUGUGAUUAUUAAUGUUGAUUACCUGAUUAAGCUGUGGUUGUACUAGGGGCAGUUAACAGCUACACAACUGCUGCUUUUGUGCCGAAUCCUUCAGAUUGUCUGGCAUUCAAAGCGAUUCAUAUUGAGUUGUUAAGGAUGUAACUAUCAACCAACAUACAUACAUAAUUACAUAUACAGAUAUACUAGAGGCACGAAUCAUAAGUAACUUGAUUUUUAACAAACUAGUGCAUCUACUGUUAUAUUGCCUAAUACUCACUCUAGCCACUAAUACAGCUAUCAUGUAUAUGAAACCUACGUUUAAUUUUUUUUUAUUUUUUUUUAUCACCACAACGGCACGACCAUUGGCCAAUUAAACUUGGGACCAGGGAUGAAACUUUUGAGUGGUGAACAAAAGCCAUAGCCCCUCUCUAAUUUCUUAUCUUACCUAUAGAAAUUCAUGGCUUAUGCAUAUUUCUAUUUUUUCUUUUUAUUUAUUUUUCAGUAAGGUGGGUGAGUAACAGAUGAUACUCCGGACUUGUAUUAACGUUACAGGGGCGUUUUAUUCACUUCUUUUUUAACUAAUCUUAUCUGAAUUUAUUUAUUUUUGAAAAAAGUGGAAAUAAGGUCAACAUAACAUACAAUAGUGCAAGGAGAUAGGCUCGGCCCUUGGCAAUGGGAGUGAAUAGCAGGGGAAUUCCAACCAUGUGCUUCUAACACCUUCAAGAGGGGCGGAUACAGGAAUUUACAAAUGGGGGUCCCAAAAAAUUUUAUGAUCUCUAUUUUCUCAUUUUAGGGAGUGUUGAAAGGUAAGUACUCCGUAGUUAAAAUAUUAUAAACGCUAUAAUAAAAUAUGGGGAAGGUUUAGGAACUUUAGUUUUUGUGUUUCAUAAAAAUAAAAUUCGUUUCCUAAUCCAAAUUAUAGGGUUAACUUGGCGCGAUUUCAAAUAAAAUGAAGAAAAAAUAUUAGUAUUUACGACAAGUUUUCAUACUUUGAAAUAGAUUUUUUAUUACAAUUGCCGUUAAAUAAAUUUCACACAACGACACUUAUAAAAAAAAAUUAGGAACAUCAUUUUCAAUGUAUGGGGCAUUAUGCUAUUAUAUAAUUAGGCCUCUUAAAGUUUAAAGAAAUAUGCAACUAUAAGUCUAUAAAACCGGAGUAUAAAAUAUGUUACUUAUAUAUCUUGUGGAAAUGACAAAAUCAUUUUGAAGAAAAAAAGUACCGCUACUAUAUAUUGUAUUUUUAUAAAAGCAAAAUCAUGAAUCAUGAAUCAUUGUAGAAACAACAAAAUAAUAAAUAAAUAAAUAAAAGAGAAAGAAAAAACGACAAACAAAGGGGGAAAAAACAUGAAGAAUUUAGAGGGUCAAUAAAGGACAACUAAAAGGCAAAAGAAUGGGAAUAAAAUAUUUAGCAUCCACCUCUUUAUUUUACGUUAAUUAUUAAUAUAUUAAAUACUCAAGUACAAUUGAUUACCUAAUAUCAGUUUAACAGUUUUUUUUUUUUUUAAUAAUAAGGGUCCCUUUAGACCCCUCCAGGACCAUAUAGGUCCGCCCCUGACUUGAAGUAGUAAAAUACAUAUUUCAUCAAGUAUUACUCCGUACUUUUUUUUUGUAUUCAACUUUCUCAUACAAAGUACUUCGUAUACUAUUAAGAUAGUGCAUACGGUUUCAAAAUGGUUGAAUACGAGGAAUAUGGUAAAAACGACUAAAAAAUGAAGGUAUUCUAACUCUCUGUCUAACAAAACUACUUGUCCGUACUUCAUAUUUCACAAGGACAGAAUCGAACUACACAUAAUUAACCAACUACAAAAAAAAAUCCAAACCGUUACAAAACUCCUCCAAAAAUAUAGAUUGAACUCAUACAUCAAAGAAUCAAGCAACAACAAGAAAAUUCCAAUUGUAAUUUCCAAAAUAAAAAAAUGUCACGUAUUUUCAUGAGUUCAUAAGUGCAAAGAUAGGCAAACAUGGGUUGUGACUUGUGAGCUGAUCACCCAAAAUUGAUUAGAUUGGACUAUACAAAGUAUAUGUCGUUCUUGUGUAGGGCUCAUAAUAAUCUUCUCUGUAUCGUUUCAAUUUUAUCAGAUGUCUCCGAACAGACUGGACAAUACAAGUACUCCGUAUAGGAUUUUUGCCAGGACAACCAAGUGUUAAAUUUUGGAUGCAUGUUGUUACUGGAUUGGACAACAAACAAGACUUGUGAAAUCUCAAUACAAACAUGAUCCGGGGAAUCAGAACUUGGCCUUUUAUUUUAAUUUUUUAAUUUUUUUUAUUUAUUUUUAAAUUAUGUGAAAAUAUAGGCCAAUUAAUUAUUAGGCUAGCUUAUUAAUUUUCCACAAUGAAAUGACUAACAUGUGCAUAUAAUUGACUCUUGUCACCGGAAAAUGUGGUAUUUGCUGUGCACAUAUAUAGCUUAGCUUGGUGUAAUUGCAUGCUCCUUAAAUUUAAAGUUAAGGUCAAAACAUUAAUUCAAUUAUUAUUUGCCACUGAAAUUCAUGGUUAUAAUGAUUAAUGAAGGUUCUUGGCUUGGCAAAGGUUAAUAAUUAGAAAAGUUCAGACCAAAUCAGACUAGACCAACAUGAACCAGACCAGACCAGCAUGAAUCAGACCAGACCAAACCAGUAAAAUGAAAAAUCAGACCAGACCAAACCAGACCAGACGAAGAGAACAGAGUCUUAGAUGAUUUUCAAAUAAUGUGCUAAACUACGGGAGUGUUGAGCACUGGGUAAGGAAUAUGGGGGUAUGACCUUUUACUGAAAUUAUGGUUUAUGAGAUUGUGGUUUUCAUGUGACAAGCAAAGUGAGCGAGUAUGAGCUUUCAUGAUUGAUUGACCUUUGAAAAUAAAAUUAGUUUUGGGUGUUUUCUGAUUGUGAUGGUUGAUUUGAGCUAUGUGAUCUUUUUGGCACCUUCUUGUGGAUGUGAAAUGAUAGGAUAGAACAAGGGUGGCCUAGAUUUAUUUUAAGAAGGUACCAACAUGUCAAAAUAUUCCGUUUAAGAGAGAAAAUUCAAAGUAUCCUAAAUCAAAAAAAAAAAAAAAAAAAGAGUAUCAUUACUAAUGUGUACUUAGAAUUUAAGAUUGCAUUGCCAAAAUCUACAUUAUAAAGAGGACAAUUGCUAAGCAAUAUGAUUAAGGACAGGUGCAAUAUCAAAUCAUAGUGGAAAUUACUUUCAUUAUUAUCCAAAUAGUUAUCCGCUCACUUGCUCCCUUUUUUUAUUGCCUUCAUUUAUUGAAGAAUGAUGAGCUAAUAAUGAUGAUUGAUGAGCCAGCUCAAUUUUUUGGGAAUAGUGUCAAUUUAAGACUUUUAUUGGGUGCUACUCAAGAAAAGAAAACUAUCAAAAACAAAUAAAUGAAUAAAUGAGGGAUGUUAAUAAAAAAAAUUAUUUAGUUUAUCAUCGGCGAAAAUGAUAAAGGUCGCAACAUGCGACCUUUAAGCCGUGUCACAAUGAUGACAUGUCAUGCUUAUGUGUCGUGAUUUAAAUUGGAAACUAAAAUAUUUAACUUAUAUAACCUAUUAUAUAUAUUUCAAAAAAAUACAGGAAAAUCUUAAUAUUCUAAUUUGUUUCCUUCUUUAUAUCGAUUACUUUAUUUACAUAUUUUCAUAGUAAAAAUAUUGGAUUGAUAGUAAAAAUAUUGUGAUGAUGCAAACCUACGUGACGCCUAUAUGUACCAAUUAGAUUCCAACACGUAAGAUUGCGACAACUAAAUGUUGUCGCAACUUGCGACCUUUAUCAUCACCAAUCGGACGUCGACCAUAUUACACUUAUCUAACUGUCAAUCUAUAUUAUUGUCAGACUAUAUUUUACGCACUUACUGAGUAUUAGAAAGAGGUGAAAUAUCAUGUUAUCUGGCUGUUUAUUAACCGUUACAUAAUCUUAUACGGAGUACAAGAAUUGAGAUGAUAAAAACUACGGAGUACUCCGUAAUAGGCUACCCCAUGAUGAUGAACUGGCCAUGAAUAUUUGAUGCAGAAUUUGUCUUGUUGUUGACAUGCAUGUUGGUGAUGGACCACUUUGAUCUCUUUUGUUUAUUUGAUAUGUUAUAUGUCCAUUUUUAUUGUUUUUCUUUUGUAGUCGAAUUAAAUUUAAUUCUCUCAAAAUUUUAAAAAAUAUAAUAAAAACUUGGGAUAGUUGAGAAUUGAAAGGAAUUAUGAAAUCUUCAUUUUGUCACAUGGAUCUUUCUUAUCAGAUUCAUUGCAUUUUGAGGUUGCCAUUAUUUAUUUCUCCUUAAUUUGUAUGUCUUCUACAUUAUGAUAUUAAUCUAUUUUCUUAAUUGAUUUAAUUAAAGUGUGUUUGUGUUUUGAUUUCUAAGUGUUUUUUGGUUCUACUACGAUGAGCUAUCACCGCCUUCGACAAGUGGACUAAUCUAUUGCGGGAGUUUGCAUAGGUAACUCGAUGAGCAGCAUCCCUCCCAGUUGAGAUUUUUUCCAUACCUAAAUCUCGAACCCGAGAACUUGGUUAAGGAGGAAAAGCCCUUUACCACUCGUAUCAACCUCAAUUGGUUAAUUUCAAAGUGUUUUUGCCUCCUUUUUGGGAUUGGAUAUUUUCGUUUUUGGAGUGGUAUAUUUUCGUUAAUGAAUUAUGGCGAUAUGAUUUGUGAUACUAGUACUAAAUACUCAUAUCAAACAGAACAGUAAGUUUUCAAGCUAUUUGAAAUGUUGUGAAAAUCCUUGAUGUCUUCUUCCUCCAAGGUAACACUACAAAUUGUAACAACUUCAAGAAAAUCCUUGAUGCCUACUGUAAUGCAUCUCUUUAUUGUAAGUCCUAACACUUCUUCGGUUCUGGCUGAAUCAAUUGGUGAGACGGUCAACUUCAAAAAAAGUGAGGAAUUUGGUAUUUACCUAGGUCGGCCAGCGGAUUUCAAAACCAAUAAGAAAACGAUCUUCCAGACCCUCAUUGAUAAAGUACAUGAAAGGCUGAAUGCGUGGAACUCCCUCUUCCUUUCGCCAGUAGGCAGGUUAACACUAAUAAAUUCUGUCUUAAACAACUUGGGAACUUAUUUUCUCUCCACCUUUAAAUGCCCAGGGUAUAAGAUCAAUCAUUGCGAGGUUCUGGUUGCUAGGGGCUAAUAAAGAAGUAGGCAUUCAUUGGAAAAGAUGGGAUGUGAUCACCAAAAACAGAAGCAAAGAAAGGAUGGAGAAUCAUCAAUGACACGGACUCACUCCUCUCCAAAACUUUCUCUUAUCAGAGAAGGGAGCCACUGGACUAUUGGAGAUGGAUGUUUAGCUAAAUGUGACCAACCCUGGGUUCUAGGGGACAAACCAGUGUGGAAACCAAGCAGAAGCAACCAAACAAGGAAAGAGGAGACGGUUCGAAGCCUAAUAAAGGAGGACACCAAUGAAUGGGACAACCUCAAGCUUGAGCAAAACUUUUCUACCAACACUAUAAUGAAGAUUCUUAGUAUUGAAACCAUGGAGAGAGGGUCUGAAGAUGCUCUAGUAUGGAAAAGAGAAAAGUUGGGGAACUACACUGUGAGGAGUGGCUACUCUAUGCAAUUGGAAGCUCAAAACCGUCAGAUAAAUGGGCACAUCAAGAGGAAUUGGGAUAUUUUGUGGAAGGCGGACAUGAAUAAUAAGUGGAAAAUCUUCCUGUGGAAGUUACUGAAUAAUAGACUCCAUGUGGGGGAGGAGUUCAUUAAAAGAAGAAUUGUAGUGGACUCGAUGUGCAAGUUUUGUGAUACUCAUGUUGAGUCUCUUGACCACCUGUUCAGGGACUGCAAUGUGAGUAGACAUAUUUGGGAAGCAGGUAGGCUUGGGCUGAGAACUGAGCACCAGUCGAACAUUCCUCUAGGUGACUGGGUGUGGAAUUGGUUUAAAAUGCUAAAAGGAAGGAAGGAUGAGGAUAGUUAUAGGUUCAACUAUUUCACUGCAACCCUGUGGGCUAUCUAGUGUGCAAGGAACGAGAUCAUGUUUAACAAAGGAAACUGCAAUGCCAAAGGCAUUCUAGAUAGGGUGGAGAGAACUUUCAACAUAGAAACGCAGGGUGGGAGUAAAUGCAAAGAGUACAGAACCAGGAAAAGAAAGGAGGACCCAGAAGAACCACCAGGAUUCGAGAGGGAUAAGAAGCUAGAAGAGCCACCAGGUUUUGAAAGGAACUUAGGCAACAAGGGCAACACUAGUCAUCACCUCAUAGGUAAGAGGAACAACUGCGAUAGAAGGGUGCUUCAUUCAUAUGACGAUUUCAAAGAGGAGGGUGAAAGUAUCGUAUACUGGUCUUCAGACCUAGAUGGAAGCAACAACAACUACUUAAGAAUGCACUGUAGCAGUAAGGAGCAAGCGAACUUGAGAGCAUUUCUUAAGGGUAUCAAUGAAGCGAGGUAUAGGAACUGGAGACACCUAAAUAUAACCACCAAUGACAGCAGGACAACCAGAAUUCUGAUAGGAAAAGAGACACCAAGUGCCGAAGGAAGGAACAUUUUAAUUAAGAUUAUUGAGGGCACCAAGGAUUUGCACUGUUUAGAAGUAGUCCUUAACACUUAGUUUUGGGAGCUUGCGCCUUUGUCACCUCUGAAAUGUUGUGAAAUUUAUAUUGCACCUUCUAGGACAACACAUUAGGUUAUGAUUGCAUGAACACUUUCACUAUGAAGUUAUCUCUUUUUUUACUCGAUC